ACCAAUUCUGGGGGAUGAUUAGUACCUCUUGGAAUAAUGGCUCAGACGCUAUGUUGAGAUGUGUGGUCAUCCUGAUUUUUGGCUUUUGUUUCGUGCCAUUUGAUCCUGGAAACGCCACAAAUAUUU